rnacentral:rRNA from 1 species
GAACGAAGCAGGGGGGCGGAAUCUCUCCGGAGGGGAAGCCCCCCUGACUGAGUGGCGGACGGGUGAGUAACGCGUGGACAACCUACCCCGCACUGGGGGACAACAGCCGGAAACGGCUGCUAAUACCGCAUAUGCGCACGGCCCCGCAUGGGGCCGCGCGGAAAGCGCAUGCGGUGCGGGAUGGGUCCGCGUCUGAUUAGCUUGUUGGCGGGGUAACGGCCCACCAAGGCGACGAUCAGUAGCCGGCCUGAGAGGGCGGACGGCCACAUUGGGACUGAGACACGGCCCAGACUCCUACGGGAGGCAGCAGUGGGGGAUAUUGCACAAUGGGGGCAACCCUGAUGCAGCGACGCCGCGUGAGCGAUGGAGUACUUCGGUAUGUAAAGCUCUGUCAGCAGGGAAGAGAAUGACGGUACCUGACCAAGAAGCCCCGGCUAAAUACGUGCAAGCAGCCGCGGUAAUACGUAUGGGGCAAGCGUUAUCCGGAUUUACUGGGUGUAAAGGGAGCGUAGGCGGCAGGGCAAGCCUGAUGUGAAAGCCCGGGGCUCAACCCCGGGACUGCAUUGGGAACUGCCCCGCUCGAGUGCCGGAGGGGCAGGCGGAAUUCCUAGUGUAGCGGUGAAAUGCGUAGAUAUUUGGAGAAACACCAGUGGCGAAGGCGGCCUGCUGGACGGUGUACUGACGCUGAGGCU